UACGUAGGGUGCGAGCGUUGUCCGGAAUUAUUGGGCGUAAAGAGCUUGUAGGCGGUUUGUCGCGUCUGCUGUGAAAAUCCGGGGCUCAACCCCGGACUUGCAGUGGGUACGGGCAGACUAGAGUGUGGUAGGGGAGACUGGAAUUCCUGGUGGUAGCGGUGAAAUGCGCAGAUAUCAGGAGGAACACCGAUGGCGAAGGCAGGUCUCUGGGCCAGCUACUGACGCUGAGAAGCGAAAGCAUGGGGAGCGAAACAGG
rnacentral:rRNA from 1 species